rnacentral:rRNA from 1 species
UACGAAGGGGGCUAGCGUUGCUCGGAAUCACUGGCGUAAGCGCACGUAGGCGGCUUUCUAAGUCGGACGUGAAAUCCCCAGGCUCAACCUGGGAACUGCGUCCGAUACUGGAUGGCUUGAAUCCGGGAGAGGGAUGCAGAAUUCCAGGUGUAGCGGUGAAAUGCGUAGAUAUCUGGAGGAAUACCGGUGGCGAAGGCGACUACCUGGCCUGUUCUUGACGCUGAGGCGCG